rnacentral:rRNA from 1 species
AUGGAUUGGUGGGAUUGUAUUAUUUGUAUCUUCAUUUCAGUGUUCAAUUGUUAUUGUCCUUUUUACUUGCACGUACAUCCUUUGCAAGUUGAAAGGGUGGAACUGAGUAAUUCACCAGAUAGAUGGAGAGUUAAGAAAAUCAUUGCAAGCGGUGUUGCUUCUGGUAGCUACAUCAUUCUGAGUACAGCCAUUUUUUUCAGGGCGGCGACACUUCCCGACUUCUUUUCAUAUAAAUUUGAAGGUAGAUCGCUGAUGGGCUCCGAUGAAGAAAUUAGAGCUGCUUUGUUCCUUCAGAUGAGCAUAGUGAACCAGGCUGUACUGUUUGUUAAUUCUGACAAUUGCUACCUUAUCAGAUGUCCUGGACCUGUUGUAGCAUGUACUUUUAUUUUUACUCAGAUGGUGGCACUGGCAACCCAUAAAGCUGUAUAUGGUGACUUGGAUUUGGCACUACCAAAGGGUGUUGGUUGCCUCAGAGCAGGAUUGAUAUGGCUGUACAACUUUGUGGUGCUCAUGACCCCUGUUUUAAUUUGUCACUCAUGGAGGCGUGCAAACAUGACUACUGAGAAGUUGUUGACAGUAUGCAUACAUUCAGCAUCAUGCGUAUGGCUUUGCUCUGGUCACUGUAUGUAA